AUGGGGCGACGCGGCCCGCGCGGCGCCCUCCUGGAGGCCGCCCUUCUCGUCGCCGAGCAGGUUCUUCCACGGACCAGGCCCGUGGCGGUGAGGGACUACUACGACGUGCUCGGUGUGAGGAAGGACGCCGGCCAGGGCGAGAUCAAGAAGGCGUAUUACGCGCUUGCGAAGAAGCUCCAUCCAGAUACAAAUAAAGGCGAUGCCGAUGCAGAAAAAAAGUUUCAAGAGGUUCAGAAAGCUUAUGAGACUUUGAAGGAUGAAGAAAAAAAAGCGGUCUAUGAUCAGGUUGGCCCUGAUCAAUAUGAGAGGGCUGCUGCUGGAGGUGGUGGAGCUGGCGGAUUCGAAGGCGGUUUUGGAAAUCCUUUUGAGGAUAUUUUCGGCACUGGUCGUACUGGCGGAAUGAAUGAUUUCCUCCGGAACAUCUUCAAAGAUAGAGAAUCUGGUGGACAGGACGUUAAGGUUAAGCUUGAGUUGUCAUUUAUGGAAGCAGUUGAAGGAUGCAAAAAGACAAUCAACUUCCAGACUUUAGUAACAUGCGAAACCUGCAAUGGAGCUGGUGUACCUGCGGGAACCAAACCCGAAACUUGUCUAGCUUGCAGGGGUUCUGGAUAUAUGGUUCUGCAAACUGGUCCCUUCAGAAUGCAAUCAACAUGCACGCAGUGUGGUGGAUCUGGCAAGACUGUAAAGGAUUUCUGCAAGUCGUGCAGGGGGAAGAAGGUUGUGCCAGGAAUAAAAACAGUCUCUAUUGAUAUAGCGCCUGGUACGGAUGAUGAGGAUGUCAUGAAAGUGCUUAGAUCAGGUCAAGCAGAUCCAGACGGUCUUCGUGCUGGUGACCUUUAUGUAGCCAUUAAGGUUCGUGAGGAUCCAGUAUUCCGGAGAGAGAAAGGUGAUAUCCAUGUAGAUGCUGUCUUAAACGUGACUCAGGCAAUUCUGGGAGGUACUGUUCAAGUGCCAACUCUCGCUGGAGAUGUUGUUCUAAAGGUUAAGCCUGGUACUCAACCUGGUCAGAAGGUUGUUCUGAGAGGAAAAGGAAUCAAGACAAGAAACUCGUAUUCAUAUGGAGACCAAUAUGUCCAUUUCAAUGUCAAAAUCCCUGUGAAUUUGACGCAGAAACAGCGCAUGCUUCUCGAGGAGUUCGAGAAGGAAGAGAAGGGCGAGGACGACAAGGACGCGGAAAAGGCAGCUGGCGCAUCAGGAUAG
rnacentral:rRNA from 1 species